UGCCGGCAUGAGUAGCGAAUGUGGAGUGAGAAUCUCCACCGCCGAAUGUCCAAGGGUUCCUGGGGAAGGCUCGUCCUCCCAGGGUUAGUCGGGACCUAAGGCGAGGCCGACAGGCGUAGUCGAUGGAUAACAGGUUGAUAUUCCUGUACCACCGCGUGCGCGCCACGGCCGAACCCAGAUUGCUAAGGAAAGCCCUUCGGGGCCUACCGACCCAUCUGGUAGUAGGCCAGCGAUGGAGUGACGUGGAAGGGUAAGUGAACCCAGGCGUUGGUUGACCUGGGGUAAGUAAGUAGUGCGGGAUCUAGGCAAAUCCGGAUCCCAUAAAGCGCGAGAUACGAUGCCGAACCGUUAGGUGAAGUCACUGAACGCCCAUGCCACCUAGAAAACCUUCUAGCGAGUGCACGAGGUGCCCGUACCCCAUAACCGACACAGGUGGACAAGUAGAGAAUACUAAGGCGAGCGAGAUAACUCUGGUUAAGGAACUCGGCAAAAUAGCUCCGUAACUUCGGGAGAAGGAGCGCCCCGGUAAGGUGUAGGACCUCGCGUCCGAAGCCUGAGGGGGCCGCAGAGACCAGGCCCAAGCGACUGUUUACUAAAAACACAGGAGCGUGCUAAGUCGCAAGACGACGUAUACGCUCUGACGCCUGCCCGGUGCUGGAAGGUUAAGAGGAAGGGUUAGCUUCGGCGAAGCUCCAAAUCUAAGCCCCAGUAAACGGCGGCCGUAACUAUAACGGUUGGUUAGUAAGCACUACAUACCAACACUGGCCGUUACAAAACUUGGCCAUAUGCUGGAACAUCCGAGUAUCCGGUGGUACUCGUCCAAUCACGAAAUGUCACGUACCAGUGAUACGUUCGGCGAAUGGACAGUGACAACCCAUCCGGUGCGGACAAUCAGCAGGAAACCAGACUCGCAGCGAUAGAUCCAUGGUGGAUCAUCGGGUUCGUUGACGGUGAAGGAUGCUUUUCGGUGUCCAUCCAUCGCAACAGCCUGGCGAAACCGACUGGCGGUUGGCACAUCCAACCAACAUUCCAGGUUUCGCAGCACGUCGACCAUGAGGACGUAUUGCACGGGCUCGAGCAGCACUUCGGUGUUGGCCGGGUUCGGGGCAAAGGUCCGAACAACGCCGUGAAGGUGUAUUCCGUCUACAGCACACGAGAAUUGUGCUCGACGGUUAUCCCCUUCUUCGAGCGAUAUCAGCUGCGAGUGAAGCGUGAGGACUUCGAGGCCUUCGCAUGGAUUACCCGUGCGGUGAGGUCGAGAAGCCACCACGACCGAGAGAUCUUCGAAGAAUGCGUACGCAAGGCAUACGGCAUGAAUCGCCGUGGCCGACAGCGGAAACGAAGAAUCGAAGAGAUCCUGGGAUCCCCAGAGACUGUACGCCAGGCACUUCGGUGAUCAAGAAGUGAAGAUACAGUCCGAUCCCUGUGGCGACACAGGGAGUCACCCAGAAAUGAGGUGGCCGAUCAGAAGCCCAGCAAUACGGGCAGAAGAUCAGUAACAACAAUGCCUAAGGUAGCGAAAUUCCUUGUCGGGUAAGUUCCGACCUGCACGAAUGGCGUAACGACUCGGGCACUGUCUCAACCAGAGACUCGGCGAAAUUGCAGUGUGAGUGAAGAUGCUCACUACCUGCGACAGGACGGAAAGACCCCGGGACCUUUACUGCAACUUGACAUUGGAAUUUGACGUAUCACGUGCAGCAUAGGUGGGAGGCUUUGAAGCGAGCGCGCUAGCCCUCGUGGAGCCAUCAUUGAGAUACCACCCUUGCUACGUUGGAUUUCUAACCACGAUCCAUUAUCUGGAUUUGGGACAGUGUCUGGUAGGCAGUUUCACUGGGGCGGUGGCCUCCUAAAGAGUAACGGAGGCGCCCAAAGGUUCCCUCAGCCUGGUCGGCAAUCAGGCGUUGAGUGUAAUGGCACAAGGGAGCUUGACUGCGAGACCUACAAGUCGAGCAGGAGCGAAAGCUGGGCAUAGUGAUCCCACGGUAGCGAGUGGAAGCGCCGUGGCUCAUCGGCUAAAAGGUACCCCGGGGAUAACAGGCUUAUCACGCCCAAGAGUCCAUAUCGACGGCGUGGUUUGGCACCUCAACAUUGGGGUGAGAACACAGAAAUGUUGUCCUACAGAAUUGGCUUAUAACGGUGAACCCCUAUCCGCAGCCUGACCAUCAUGCAAAGAGGCGUUUUCAAAACGGCGCCUUGGACGCAGACGGUUCACGCGGAGGGCAAUACCGUGGGAAGUCGGACAGAAGCAACAGCCAGUGUCGGUCCAUCAGGGCAGGCACGGUGAGGGCAACCUCACAGCUUCUGCAAGUGACCCCGUAACGACUAAAGCGAACGCUCCCUAUAUAUGGAAUAUAUGGAGAGAACUAGCUGCGGUGGCUGGUCAGAGCCCGGAAACGACCGUGUUUGAACAACACAGGGCGAACCGGGAGAAAAUACGACCGCCACAAUACGCCAACCCCUCGCCCUUGGCUGGGCAGGGAGAAGAUAUAGUCUGCGCCACUGGUAACAGUGGAGACAUCGUGCGAUGUCGGCUCGUCGCAUCCUGGGGCUGGAGCAGGUCCCAAGGGUCGGGCUGUUCGCCCGUUAAAGCGGCACGCGAGCUGGGUUUAGAACGUCGUGAGACAGUUCGGUCCCUAUCCGUCGCAGGCGCAGGAGUUUUGAGAGGAGCUGUCUCUAGUACGAGAGGACCGAGACGGACGUACCGCUGGUGUGCCAGUUGUUCUGCCAAGAGCACGGCUGGUUGGCUACGUACGGAAUGGAUAAGCGCUGAAGGCAUCUAAGCGCGAAGCCGGCCUCAAGAUGAGAACUCCCACCCUUUAUGGGUUAAGACCCCUGGCAGAACACCAGGUUGAUAGGCGGGAUGUGAAAGCGCGGUAACGCGUGAAGCAGACCCGUACUAAUAGGUCGAGGACUUGGUCUG
rnacentral:rRNA from 1 species